rnacentral:misc_RNA from 2 species
AAGUCGUAACAAGGUUUCCGUAGGUGAACCUGCGGAAGGAUCAUUAUCAAAACAGCGGACUUCGGUCCUUGCUGCACCCUUGUCUUUUGCGUACCGUAUGUUUCCUCGGCGGGCUUGCCUGCCGGUUGGACAUUAUCAAACCUUUUUGUAGUUGCAAUCAGCGUCAGAAAACAAACAAUAAUUACAACUUUCAACAACGGAUCUCUUGGUUCUG